UGGGUUGUUGCUGGUUCUCUUGGGAGCAUGUGCACGCCUUGUCAUCUUUAUAUCUCCACCUGUGCACCCUUUGUAGACCUUCCCAGGUCUAUGUUGCUUCAUUUACCCCAAUGUAUGUUAAUAGAAUGUUGUGACUAUAAAAAUCUAUACAACUUUCAGCAACGGAUCUCUUGGCUCUCGCAUCGAUGAAGAACGCAGCGAAAUGCGAUAAGUAAUGUGAAUUGCAGAAUUCAGUGAAUCAUCGAAUCUUUGAACGCACCUUGCGCUCCUUGGUAUUCCGAGGAGCAUGCCUGUUUGAGUGUCAUUAAUAUAUAUCAACCUCUCUUGUUGAGUGGCUUGGAUGUGGGGGGGUUUUGCUGGCCUGUUCAGCUCCUCUGAAAUACAUUAGCAGAACAAACCUGUUCAUUGGUGUGAUAACUAUCUACGCUAUUGAAUGUGAGGGGCAGUUCAGCUUUCCAACAGUCCUUGGACAACUUAUCAUUUAU
rnacentral:rRNA from 1 species